UAGAUGACUACUGACACUACACUAUUUAAC
rnacentral:piRNA from 1 species